UACGAAGGGGGCUAGCGUUGCUCGGAUUCACUGGGCGUAAAGGGUGCGUAGGUGGUGAGGUAAGUCGGAUGUGAAAGCUCGGAGCUCAACUCCGAAAUGGCAUUGGAAACUACCUUGCUCGAGGGUUGGAGGGGGGACUGGAAUUCUCGGUGUAGCAGUGAAAUGCGUAGAUAUCGAGAGGAACACCAGUGGCGAAGGCGAGUCCCUGGACAAAACCUGACACUGAGGCACGAAAGCUAGGGGAGCAAACAGG
rnacentral:rRNA from 1 species